rnacentral:piRNA from 1 species
UGAGGGGUGAUCCCAAUCUGAGUCUAUGGU